GUAGUACUCAUUCAUUUAUAGAUAUAUAUGUAUAAAUAUAUUUAUUUUUAGAAGGAAAACUGUCUUACAUUAGCGGUUGGAAAUCAAGAAAUACUGUACGAUGGAGUGCUUAGUAAUCUGCUGCCAAAAGAGCCAUGAUCCAAUACCCCUUCCAGAUGGAGAGAGUGUAUUACUUGGCAGAGGCCCUCUGACCCAAAUUACAGACAAGAAAUGCUCCAGAAAUCAAGUUCAGCUCACAGCAAAUUAUGUAAAAAAGGAAGUGCUUGUUACUCAGCUGGGUAACAAUUCAAGUUCUGUUGGAGGAGCGAGUCUUAGCAAAGGAGACUCAACAUCUCUUGGUCCUGGAGGAACUUUCUGUCUUCUUGGAGACAAGUACUCUCACUUCAUCUAUUUCAGUCAACUUCAACCAUCUGAAAGAGAUAAAAAUGAUGAUGAACCUAAAGCCAAGAAAGCUUGUUUUGAUACUUUAAGUGAUUCAGAUGAUAAUCUCACAUCUGAAGACCUAGAGGACAUACGCCGUGAAUUUGGCCAAGAGAUGGUGGAAAAGAUACGACCACAAAACAACAAAAAAGUUGAUCUUUUAAAAGGGGAUCUAGAUUCUUGUAAUUUGAGGGAGUCAUGGAAGGAUAUUGGAGGGGAGCUAAUUGUUUUUACCUGUAGAGGGAUGGAAGCAAGUUCUAAGAUUGCUGGUUUUGACUUGGAUGGAACACUUAUCACCACUCAGUCUGGGAAGGUGUUUCCUACCUCAAUAACAGAUUGGCAAAUACUAUGUCCAGAAGUUGUUCCAAAACUGAAAGAUCUUUGGCAUAAUGGAUACAAGGUUGUCAUUUUUACAAACCAGCUUGGCAUUUCCAAAAAGCAGUUAAAGGUAGCAGACUUUAAGUCCAAGAUUGAGCAGAUCAUUAAUUACCUCAAAGUACCUGUGCAGGUUUUAAUUGCAACAGGAAAUAGUGUCUACCGCAAGCCGCUCACUGGAAUGUGGAAGCACUUAAUCACACAGGCCAAUGAUGAUGUUACUGUAGAUGAAAAGGACAGUUUCUUUGUUGGUGAUGCAGCUGGGCGACCAGCUGGCUGGGAGCCAGGAAAGAAGAAGGAUUUCUCUUGCAACGAUAGAUUGUUUGCAGAAAACAUUGGAACACAGUUCCACACUCCAGAAGAAUUCUUCCUAAAGUAUAAGCCAUCACCAUUUGAAUGGCCAAAAUUUCUACCGAAAAAUCUAGAUGCUAAUGGAUCUUUAUUAAAUCCAUCAAAUGCAAAGUUGAAGUCAGAAGGUCAAGAGCUAAUUGUUAUGGUCGGAUAUCCCGCAUCUGGGAAAACCACCUUUGUUCAAGAUUAUCUUCUACCGCUGGGUUACGUCCAAAUAAACAGGGAUAUCCUAGGUACAUGGCAGAAGUGUGUUUCUGCUUGCAAGGAUGUAUUGUUAUCGGGUAAAAGAGUAGUAGUGGACAACACAAGUCCAACAAGGGAAGCAAGAAAGAGAUACCUUGACUGUGCAAAACAAGCCAGGAUAAGUGCUCGGUGUUUCUUAUUUGACGUGACCUUUGAACACGCUCAACAUAACAAUAAGAUCCGUGAAAUGACGAACAAAGACAGCACAUACAAGCACGUUGGACACUUGGCUUUUGUGAAAUACAACGAUGCAACCCAUCACUUUCUAGAAGGCGAAUUUUUUUGGUGAAUUCAAAGGAAAGUGAAUCUACAAUACUGUUAACGGAAGUUCGUUUACCUGCGCUGAUUACCCAUACCGCUGAUUACCCAUACCGCUGAUUACCUGUGGAAAGUGAUUAGCAUCUGAAAUGUUUCUAUAUUGAGGUCAAAUAACACUGGUGUGCAAUACUUCAUGAGAGGUCUUCGUACGAAGAACCACGUUGCGAAGAAGGCUUUGAAGAGAUUGUUAAAGUAAACUUUGUACCAAGGUUUAAAGACGAUCGCGUGAAAGAAUUGUACAUGCAGUUUCAUAACUGAGUUUCAAGUCAAAGUGACCAGGGAGAGUCACAUAAUUCAAAAACUGAGUGCGUGGCUAGCAUGUAGGGUUGAGUACGCAUACCUAGCGAAUCAUCUCAGCAGCGCACUUUUGACUUUUUUACCUAUGACUUUUCUGUCAACACGUGGACCUUUCAGUGGUUACAAGAGAUUACAAACUGAUCUCUUGGUGGUAGUUCAUGGCGUAUUUCUAACGACUUUCGGCUGAUUUCCCUGGCUUUUCACUGUUUUUCCUUUUGGUAAAAAUCACGAGGCGAAAAAGGGAAGUAAAGGUUACUUUAUCAAAA